rnacentral:tRNA from 1 species
GGCGGCGUGGCUUAGUGGAGAAAGCACAGACGUGGAAGUCAGAGGACGCGGGUUCUAAUCCCGGCUCCGCCG